AAUAAAUGUAUUGAUAUUAUAGAAGAAAUUAAAUGAUAAAUCAUUAAAUUUAAAAGAUUUGGCAGUAUUUAAAAUUUAGAGGAACCUGUAUAGUAAUUGAUAAUCCACGAUAAGAAAUACUUAAUUUAAAAUUUAUGUAUUGCUGUUUUUAAUGUUUAAUUAAGUUAGAUAAAUAUAAUUUAUUAAAUUUAAUAAAAUAAAGUAAUUCAAGUCAAAAUAUAGUUUAGUUAAGAUUUAAUAUGGGUUACUAUUAAUUUAAUUAUUGAAUUAAAAAAUUUAAUUUUUUUAUGAAAAUGGAUUUAAAAGUAAAUUUAAUAAAUUAAUUAAAUUGAAUAUUAGAUUAAAUAUGU
rnacentral:rRNA from 1 species